rnacentral:rRNA from 1 species
AUUGAACGCUGGCGGCAGGCCUAACACAUGCAAGUCGAGCGAGUGGCGGACGGGUGAGUAAUGUCUGGGACACUGCCCGAUGGAGGGGGAUAACUACUGGAAACGGUAGCUAAUACCGCAUACCAUCAGAUGACCCCAUAUGGGAUUAGCUUGUAGGUGGGGUAACGGCUCACCUAGGCGACGAUCCCUAGCUGGUCUGAGAGGAUGACCAGCCACACUGGGACUGAGACACGGCCCAGACUCCUACGGGAGGCAGCAGUGGGGAAUAUUGCACAAUGGGCGCAAGCCUGAUGCAGCCAUGCCGCGUGUAUGAAGAAGGCCUUCGGGUUGUAAAGUACUUUCAGUGGGGAGGCGUUACCCACAGAAGAAGCACCGGCUAACUCCGUGCCAGCAGCCGCGGUAAUUC